UACAGAGGUCUCAAGCGUUGUUCGGAAUCACUGGGCGUAAAGGGUGUGUAGGUGGCGCCGUAAGUCGGGUGUGAAAUUUCGGAGCUUAACUCCGAAACUGCAUUCGAUACUGCGGUGCUUGAGGACUGGAGAGGAGACUGGAAUUCAUGGUGUAGCAGUGAAAUGCGUAGAGAUCAUGAGGAAGACCAGUGGCGAAGGCGGGUCUCUGGACAGUUCCUGACACUGAGACACGAAGGCCAGGGGAGCAAACGGG
rnacentral:rRNA from 1 species